UCCAGGCAAAACGAGAUGGAUCCCGCCGGUGGACGCGACUAAAGCUUCCUCAGGCCACCAUCGUGACCUCCCACAAACACUCACCAAACUGGCACACACUCCAAAGCGCCGCUCCUCGCAGACCACGGCGCAGCAGCGGCGGCGACCAAUAGCCGGUGCGCCGGGCACCUCACCUCCGUGCGGUGUGACUGCUUCUUGGCGACGGCGGUCCACGCCGGUGCGGCCUCGUGGUGUGGUCCUCGGCCUCAAGGCGGCUACCCAUGGCCAGAACACGCAGGAGAGGCGGGCUCGACAUGGCGUCCAGCGUCUAGAUCCGUGACCCACCGUGGAUGUUGGUCGCUGCCUCCUCCUCACCACCAUAGGUCAUCAACUGGCUGCUCCGGCUCUUUUCGGCCCCUCCUCCCCAUGGGUACCUCAAUUCUGACGACUGGAAUAGAGGCAGGACAGGCAGCGAAUCCGGUGUCGUCUUCUUCCUAUCCAUCUCACCGGGUUCGGUCUUCUUCGUUUCUCCUUUAAUUUUUUGUUUGCCUUUUGCUGCUCUUGGCUCGGUUGCCUGGAGCACUUGUGUUGCCAGCCAACCUGCCAUUGGGGUCAGGACUUCGUUCGGUUUUGCUCGGCGGCGUUGGCGGUGGCGAUUUCCUUCGGUUCCGCUGGGCCCUUGUAUUUACUGGCCGCUAGAUGGGAACACGCUCUGCAGUCAGGCUCCUACGACACAACCACCGCCACCGCAUGUACUCGACGUCGCGUUCGUCGCUGAAGCUCCCAAACAGCUCACCUCCUGGCAGCAAGGAAUCAGUUAAAAUAUGCAAGUAUGUGCACUCAGUUUGUUCAAGGCUCUUGGUCAUAAGUUGGUCAGGAGAUGAAAGAAUACGGCUAAACUUCAUAUAUAAGUGAAUUUUUAUCCAGAAUUGAAUUUUCUCAGAAACUACACUAAACUGCAUUGAGAUUAUUCAAAAAUGUUAAUUAAAUGUUAACUGGGUAACUUUGUGAUAAUCUACACUGUAGCAGUUUAAGCAGCGCAGCAAGGCGCGCGUAUGCUUCUAGACAUUUUUGAGAAUUGAUGUGUUGUCAAAGCUAGGUCAUGCUAUCUCAUACCGAGCACAGAAAUACUUUGUGUUUGAUAACCACUUUGUGGCUAAGGAUAAUCGUGCGGGAAUUUUAUUACGGAUCAGCAAAAUGACGAUGUACUUAUAGUGGCGAGGCAAGCAUAGAAAAACUCCUUGGAUACAAUUGAAUCCCUUGCUACCAUUGUUUCAAGACUAUUAGCCCGGGACCCCCUACCCGAGAUUUGCUGGCUUUGACUCGGAUCUGCCGGCUUUGACUCUAUCAAUGAGUGUCACACACUUCCUUGGAAGCGUCUCGGUGGAACCCCAAUCCCCUUUCGCGGUCGGCAUUGGUGAUUUCAGCGCUUCGGUCUUUGUGCAAUCCACUCGGGUUGGUCUUUGUGGCGUCACCUUCAUUGCUCGGUUUCUCCUCUCCUUCGGUUCCUGCUGUCCACUAGCCGUUCCUUGACGUUGAUCUAAUUUGGCCCCAUGUUUUGGUCGUGCUUUCGGAGUAUCCUACUUUGGAUGUGACACGACAUUUUGUGCUUUGCGUUCUAUGAGAUUGGGCUAGGCGUGUUUAGUUUGCCAUGUGUUGGAGGGAUAAGCACCCUUUCUUCUACUCCAACCCACACUUAGUGGGGUGCCUCCUUCUCUUUAUGUUUGUUUAGUUUGCCGUGUGUUGGAGGGAUAAGCACCCUUUCUUCUGCUCCAACCCACACUUAGUGUGGUGCUUCU